GUAGGGAAUAUUGGGCAAUGGAGGCAACUCUGACCCAGCCAUGCCGCGUGCAGGAUGAAGGCCUUCGGGUUGUAAACUGCUUUUGUACGGAACGAAAAGACUCCUUCUAAUAAAGGGGGUCCAUGACGGUACCGUAAGAAUAAGCACCGGCUAACUACGUGCCAGCAGCCGCGGUAAUACGUAGGGUGCAAGCGUUAAUCGGAAUUACUGGGCGUAAAGCGUGCGCAGGCGGUUAUAUAAGACAGAUGUGAAAUCCCCGGGCUCAACCUGGGAACUGCAUUUGUGACUGUAUAGCUAGAGUACGGUAGAGGGGGAUGGAAUUCCGCGUGUAGCAGUGAAAUGCGUAGAUAUGCGGAGGAACACCGAUGGCGAAGGCAAUCCCCUGGACCUGUACUGACGCUCAUGCACGAAAGCGUGGGGAGCAAACAGGAUUAGAAACCCGGGUAGUCC
rnacentral:rRNA from 1 species